rnacentral:tRNA from 1 species
GUGAGCGUAGCUCAGUCGGUAGAGCCCCGGAUUGUGGUUCCGGUUGUCGUGGGUUCGAGUCCCAUCGCUCACC